AGGGAGCACUGACUUACCUUCUGUUCCAGCACUGCUCCCUCUGCUGAUGCCGCUGAGAGACAGCGGCAUCAGCAGAGGGAGUAGUGCUGGAACAGCACGUAAGUCAGUGCUCCCU